GACGAACGCUGGCGGCGUGCCUAAUACAUGCAAGUCGAACGCAGUGGGGACGGGUGAGUAACACGUGGGUAACCUCCCAUCAGAGGGGAUCACACUUGGAAACAGGUGCUAAACCGAUCCUGAUGGAUGGACCCGCGGUUCAUUAGCUAGUUGGUUAGGUAACGGCUCACCAGGGCCACGAUGCAUAGCCGCCCUGAGAGGGUGAUCGUACAACCGGGGACUGAGAUACGGCCCCGACUCCAACGGGAGGAGGCAGUAGGGAAUCUUCGGCAAUGGACGAAAGUCUGACCGAGCAACGCCGCGUGAGUGAAGAAGGUUUUCGGAUCGUAAAACUCUGUUGUUAGAGAAGCGGUAUCUAACCAGAAAGCCACGGCUAACUACGUGCCAGCAGCCGCGGUAAUUC
rnacentral:rRNA from 1 species